GCAUGGGUCCACAAACCGUGGCCAGGCUCUCCGAGGUAGUACUGUUUCGGUACAACAAUCCCAGGUGGUGUGUUUCCCGGCUGGACAACCGCGGUCCACCAUGGAGUUGUUGCACAGAAGCAGGUAGCUUACUCGGAGGCGCUGCACGGUGUGGCGAUGACUGGGUGAGUCGUAACAAGGUAGCGUAUCGGAAGGUGCGGCUGGAUCACUCCUUUUGAGCAUGACGUCAUCGUCCUUGCGGGCGUCCUCACAAAUUACCUGCAUUCAGAGAUGCGUAUCGGCACAGGCCGGUAUGCGAAAGUCCCAUCAUGGGGCUUUAGCUCAGCUGGGAGAGCACCUGCUUUGCAAGCAGGGGGUCGUCGGUUCGAUCCCGACAGGCUCCACCAUUUGAGUGAAACGACUUUGGGUCUGUAGCUCAGGUGGUUAGAGCGCACCCCUGAUAAGGGUGAGGUCGGUGGUUCGAGUCCUCCCAGACCCACCACUCUGAAUGUAGUGCACACUUAAGAAUUUAUAUGGCUCAGCGUUGAGGCUGAGACAUGUUCUUUUAUAACUUGUGACGUAGCGAGCGUUUGAGAUAUCUAUCUAAACGUGUCGUUGAGGCUAAGGCGGGGACUUCGAGUCCCUAAAUAAUUGAGUCGUAUGUUCGCGUUGGUGGCUUUGUACCCCACACAACACGGCAUGUGACCCUGAGGCAACUUGGGGUUAUAUGGUCAAGCGAAUAAGCGCACACGGUGGAUGCCUAGGCGGUCAGAGGCGAUGAAGGACGUGGUAGCCUGCGAAAAGUGUCGGGGAGCUGGCAACAAGCUUUGAUCCGGCAAUAUCCCGAGAAUGGGGAAACCCACUGCUUCGGCAGUAUCCUGCAAGUGAAUUCAUAGCUGCUGGAAGCGAACCCGGUGAACUGAAAUAUCUAAGUAACCGGAGGAAAAGAAAUCAACCGAGAUUCCCUAAGUAGUGACGAGCGAACGGGGAGCAGCCCUUAAGCUGGAAUGGCUUUAGAAAAACAAUCUGGAAAGAUUGGCCAUAGAAGGUGAUAGCCCUGUAUUUAAAAGGGCCACUCCAGUGAAGACGAGUAGGGCGGGGCACGUGAAACCCUGUCGAAUAUGGGGGGACCAUCCUCCAAGGCUAAAUAUCCGACCGACCGAUAGUAACCAGACGU
rnacentral:sRNA from 1 species